rnacentral:rRNA from 1 species
ACGAACGCUGGCGGCAUGCCUAAGACAUGCAAGUCGAACGAGAUGGUCUUUUGAAAGAGGAGUGCUUGCACAAUUCUCGAUAUAGAUUCAUCUAGUGGCGCACGGGUGAGUAACACGUAGGUAACCUACCUUAUACAGGCGAAUAACCUUUAGAAAUGAGGGCUAAUACGCCGUGGUAUUAUCUUGGGGCAUCUUGAGAUAAUUAAAGAUUUAUCGGUAUAGGAUGGGCAUGCGUCCCAUUAGUUAGUUGGUAGGGUAACGGCCUACCAAGGCUAUGAUGGGUAGGGG